rnacentral:rRNA from 1 species
GCUGGCGGCAUGCCUAACACAUGCAAGUCGAACGGCAGCGCGGGGAGCUUGCUCCCUGGCGGCGAGUGGCGAACGGGUGAGUAAUGCUUGGGAAUCUGCCCUGUAGUGGGGGACAACCCGGGGAAACUCGGGCUAAUACCGCAUACGUCCUACGGGAGAAAGCGGGGGAUCUUCGGACCUCGCGCUAUAGGAUGAGCCCAAGUCGGAUUAGCUAGUUGGUGGGGUAAAAGCCUACCAAGGCAACGAUCCGUAGCUGGUCUGAGAGGACGAUCAGCCACACUGGGACUGAGACACGGCCCAGACUCCUACGGGAGGCAGCAGUGGGGAAUAUUGGACAAUGGGGGAAACCCUGAUCCA